AGUGAACGCUGGCGGUAGGCCUAACACAUGCCAGUCGAACGGCAGCACAGUAAGAGCUUGCUCUUACGGGUGGCGAGUGGCGGACGGGUGAGGAAUACAUCGGACUCUACUUUUUCGUGGGGGAUAACGUAGGGAAACUUACGCUAAUACCGCAUACGACCUACGGGUGAAAGCAGGGGAUCUUCGGACCUUGCGCGAUUGAAUGAGCCGAUGUCGGAUUAGCUAGUUGGCGGGGUAAAGGCCCACCAAGGCGACGAUCCGUAGCUGGUCUGAGAGGAUGAUCGGCCACACUGGAACUGAGACACGGUCCAGACUCCUACGGGAGGCAGCAGUGGGGAAUAUUGGACAAUGGGCGCAAGCCUGAUCCAGCCAUACCGCGUGGGUGAAGAAGGCCUUCGGGUUGUAAAGCCCUUUUGUUGGGAAAGAAAAGCAGCAGGUUAAUACCCCGCUGCUCUGACGGUACCCAAAGAAUAAGCACCGGCUAACUUCGUG
rnacentral:rRNA from 1 species